rnacentral:rRNA from 1 species
UACGUAGGGAGCAAGCGUUGUUCGGAUUUACUGGGCGUAAAGGGCGCGUAGGCGGCGCGGUAAGUCACUUGUGAAAUCUCUGAGCUUAACUCAGAACGGCCAAGUGAUACUGCAGUGCUAGAGUGCAGAAGGGGCAAUCGGAAUUCUUGGUGUAGCGGUGAAAUGCGUAGAUAUCAAGAGGAACACCUGAGGUGAAGACGGGUUGCUGGGCUGACACUGACGCUGGGGCGCGAAAGCCAGGGGAGCAAACGGG